rnacentral:rRNA from 1 species
AGCACGGGAGCUUGCUCCUGGUGGCGAGUGGCGAACGGGUGAGUAAUGCGUCGGAACGUACCGAGUAAUGGGGGAUAACGCAGCGAAAGCUGUGCUAAUACCGCAUACGCCCUGAGGGGGAAAGCAGGGGAUCGCAAGACCUUGCGUUAUUCGAGCGGCCGACGUCUGAUUAGCUAGUUGGUGGGGUAAAGGCCUACCAAGGCGACGAUCAGUAGCGGGUCCGAGAGGAUGAUCCGCCACACUGGAACUGAGACACGGUCCAGACUCCUACGGGAGGCAGCAGUGGGGAAUUUUGGACAAUGGGGGAAACCCUGAUCCAGCCAUUCCGCGUGAGUGAAGAAGGCCUUCGGGUUGUAAAGCUCUUUCAGCUGGAAAGAAACGGUGCGCUCUAACAUAGCGUGCUAAUGACGGUACCAGCAGAAGAAGCACCGGCUAACUACGUGCCAGCAGCCGCGGUAAUACGUAGGGUGCGAGCGUUAAUCGGAAUUACUGGGCGUAAAGCGUGCGCAGGCGGAUUGUUAAGCAAGAUGUGAAAUCCCCGGGCUUAACCUGGGAAUGGCAUUUUGAACUGGCAGUCUAGAGUGCGUCAGAGGGGGGUGGAAUUCCACGUGUAGCAGUGAAA